rnacentral:rRNA from 1 species
GACGGAGGAUGCAAGUGUUAUCCGGAAUCACUGGGCGUAAAGCGUCUGUAGGUGGUUUAAAAAGUCUAUUGUUAAAAAUUGAAGCUUAACUUCAAAGAUGCCGUAGAAACUUUUAAACUUGAGGAUGGUAGGGGUAGAGGGAAUUUCCAGUGGAGCGGUGAAAUGCGUAGAUCUUGGAAAGACCACCAAUGGCGAAGGCACUCUACUGGGCCAUGACUGACACUAAGAGACGAAAGCUAGGGGAGCAAAUGGG